rnacentral:rRNA from 1 species
AUUGAACGCUGGCGGCAGGCCUAACACAUGCAAGUCGAGCGAGCGGCGGCCGGGUGAGUAAUGUCUGGGAAACUGCCUGAUGGCGGGGGAUACCUCCUGGAAACGGUAGCUAAUACCGCAUACCAUCAGAUGUGCCCAGAUGGGAUUAGCUCGUAUGUGGUGUAACGGCUCACCUAGGCGACGGUCCCUAGCUGGUCUGAGAGGAUGACCAGCCACACGGGAACGGAGACACGGUCCAGACUCCUACGGGAGGCAGCAGUGGGGAAUAUUGCACAAUGGGCGCAAGCCAGAUGCAGCCAUGCCGCGGGUGUGAAGAAGGCCUUCGGGUUGUAAAGCACUUUCAGCGGGGAGGCGUUACCCGCAGAAGAAGCACAGGCUAACUCCGUGCCAGCAGCCGCGGUAAUAC